AUGCCCUCAAAGCCCCAGUGGCUCCUUCUUAGUCAAUCAGCUGCAUCCAGUCCCCGCUGGCUUGGUUCUGCCAGGUGGUUGCUGCCUCCUGACCAAGCCCACCCGUGCUGUCCUCUGCCAUGGCCUCCUCCUCUCCAUCACACUUCCUUGGCUAGAGAGCUCCCCUUCCUAUUCAUCCCCAGUGAGCUAGUGGAGGGGAAGCAAGGGAGNNNNNNNNNNNNNNNNNNNNNNNNNNNNNNNNNNNNNNNNNNNNNNNNNNNNNNNNNNNNNNNNNNNNNNNNNNNNNNNNNNNNNNNNNNNNNNNNNNNGAAGCAAGGGAGGCCCCGGAGGAGGAAAACAAUUUUAAAUAAUAUAGUUAAUUAAGAGAAAUAACCAUAAGAGAACAGUCAGGACAAUUAGAGAAAAGCGGUAAAGUUCCAAGGAAUUGACAGCAACCUGCAAAGAGAGGAUAACAGUGUCUCCUCACCUGAGCAGAAGUCUCAGCUUCUCUUCCUUCCCAGCUAAGAUUCCUAAAUCCAUCGGGAUAACCCUGGAUGGGAGAGAUCCUGCACGCUGGCCAAGGAACACCUCGAGUUACCCAGACCCGUUGAUGACAGCUCAAUUUGUGUUAUAUUUGGGUAACCUGGUCUAAAGAUCUUUCUAGACCUCAUUGUUGCAGUGUCUAUCCCUUCACCUCCAUUGAAAUCAGCGUUUUGGAUCUAGAUCUUCAUGGAAUUCUUGCGAAGAGAGAGGCCUUUGCAGUUACCCAGUCCUGAGGGUACAAGUUUCAUGAAAAGGAAUGCAACUUUACGUAAUCAUAGACAGGGCAAAAUAAGAAUUCAAGAAGCCACCAGGGACAGAAACAAAUUGGAUCCAGUUUUAAAUGGUUUUGCAUAGAACCUGGACAAAGGCCCAUGUCUUGUCUUUGCAGAAUUAUUUUCCGGGAUGCAAAUGGAUUCAGAUGUCAGUCCUUGAACUAGAAUCCCUUACUAUAAUGUUUUGGAAGUUGGCAGAUUUUUUUCAAAGAUAAAAGCAGUUUUACAUUGGGGGUUGCUGAGGUAGGCACAAGAAGAAAUCAGGCAUAAAGCACAAGGAAAACUGUUUGAGUGGAUUGGUUGCUGCUCACUAAAGUUCUUCCCCGAUCUCCAAAUAUGGAGGUCAUGGCUUAGAUAUGAAUGAGAGCCAGAUACCCGUGGCUCCACUGUGUGAGCCAGUGAAUUAUGGCUAAUUCGGCUGUUUCUGCCACUGGUUGGCUGGAUUUUAAACCAUAAAACUUGAACAUCUUUACAAAAGGAACAUUGUGGCUACAAGCCUGAGCUUUAAUGGAAUAUAAGUCCACACAGAAAAGUUGGAAGUAACCAAAACUGAAGUCAUCUACCUUCAGUUUAAUCUGUGGAUUUGUUCAAAUACUAAAGAUCCUCAGGUCCAGAAUUCCAGCAUCAUUUAUUCUUUUAAAAUAAAUUUUUAAGAACUUGGUCCAUUGUAUCAGUACCUCACAAUCAAAGUUGGCAAAUGAUGGAUGAGUGAUUCAAGCAGCGUGCCCUUUGAAGCUGAAAUCCAUUUGAAUGGAGCUGAAAUGAACGUGAAUAUGCUGACUAUAUCCUGGAAGCAUUUUUAUACCAUCUUGAAAUUUCAACAAACUGGCUUUUGCCAGUUUAUCCAGCUGUCUUUCAAGAAUAAAAGUUGGGGUUUUCAAGGAUCGCCUCUUCUAUAUUUUAAAUGGAUUUUCAGUAUGAUUUUUACUAAUCAAGUUAAUCCCACCCCAUCAAAAGGUAUUCCUAGAAGUGUCAUAGACCUAGGUAACUUUGAAUUGAAUGGGAGCUAAUGGUCUUUCCAAAGUUUUCAGGUAUACUUUGUGCGACACCUUCUCAACAAGGAGGCAAGUAACCCCACCUCCACAAUCUUAGUUUCUUUUUUUUUUAAACUGCAUGCCUGCCCUUUAUUUGAGCUGCCUUUUAAUUUAUUGCAUACCUUUUUAUUAUCUUAUUUUGGUAUUAUUCAAUCUACAAUCUUUUUGUAUUUAUUGGGAAAUAAGUAAUAUACAAAAAGGUCGUUUUCAUGAAUUGUGGCUGAGAGGGAG
rnacentral:lncRNA from 1 species